AACGCUAGCUACAGGCUUAACACAUGCAAGUCGAGGGGAAACGACAUCGAAAGCUUGCUUUUGAUGGGCGUCGACCGGCGCACGGGUGAGUAACGCGUAUCCAACCUGCCCACCACUUGGGGAUAACCUUGCGAAAGUAAGACUAAUACCCAAUGAUAUCUCUAGAAGACAUCUGAAAGAGAUUAAAGAUUUAUCGGUGAUGGAUGGGGAUGCGUCUGAUUAGCUUGUUGGCGGGGUAACGGCCCACCAAGGCGACGAUCAGUAGGGGUUCUGAGAGGAAGGUCCCCCACAUUGGAGCUGAGACACGGUCCAAACUCCUACGGGAGGCAGCAGUGAGGAAUAUUGGUCAAUGGACGAGAGUCUGAACCAGCCAAGUAGCGUGCAGGAAGACGGCCCUAUGGGUUGUAAACUGCUUUUAUAAGGGAAUAAAGUGAGUCUCGUGAGACUUUUUGCAUGUACCUUAUGAAUAAGGACCGGCUAAUUCCGUGCCAGCAGCCGCGGUAAUACGGAAGGUCCGGGCGUUAUCCGGAUUUAUUGGGUUUAAAGGGAGCGUAGGCCGGAGAUUAAGCGUGUUGUGAAAUGUAGACGCUCAACGUCUGCACUGCAGCGCGAACUGGUUUCCUUGAGUACGCACAAAGUGGGCGGAAUUCGUGGUGUAGCGGUGAAAUGCUUAGAUAUCACGAAGAACUCCGAUUG
rnacentral:rRNA from 1 species